rnacentral:rRNA from 1 species
AUGGGUUCUUUGCAUGUCUCCUCGAGUGCCACUCAACAUAGCAAGCUUGAGAGGGCUUACCAACUCCUGGUUUUCCAUGUGCACCCGUUCUGGCUCCAGCUCUUGUACUUUGUAUCCAUCUCCUUCUUCGGUUUGGUGAUCCUCAAAGCCCUCCCCAUGAAGACCAGCACGGUCCCGAGGCCCAUGGAUUUGGACCUGAUCUUCACGUCGGUCUCGGCGACCACGGUGUCGAGCAUGGUGGCCGUGGAGAUGGAGUCCUUCUCCAACCCCCAGCUCCUACUCCUGACCCUCCUCAUGCUCCUCGGCGGCGAGGUGUUCACGAGCAUGCUUGGCCUGCACUUCACCUACGUCAAGUCCAAGAAGAAAGAAGCACAAGCACCCCACGACCAUGACGAUGGUGACAAAGGCAAACCAGCACCAUCAUCUAGCCUAGAGCUCGCUGUUACCACCGGCAUGGAUGACGUCGAUCGUGUGGAGCAAGGGUUUAAGGACCAGCCCCGUUACGAUCGCGCCUUCCUCACCAGGUUGCUUCUGUUCAUAGUGCUGGGCUAUCACGUGGUGGUGCACCUCGCCGGCUACUCCUUGAUGCUGGUCUACCUGAGCGUGGUCUCCGGCGCGAGGGCUGUGCUCACCGGCAAGGGGAUCAGCCUGCACACCUUCUCCGUCUUCACCGUCGUCUCGACGUUCGCCAACUGCGGCUUCGUCCCGAACAACGAAGGGAUGAUCGCCUUCCGGUCCUUCCCGGGCCUCCUGCUCCUAGUCAUGCCGCACGUCCUCCUCGGCAACACACUCUUCCCCGUCUUCCUCAGGCUGGCCAUCUGGGCUCUCCGGAGAGUCACCAGGAGGCCCGAGCUCGGUGAGCUGAGGAGCAUCGGCUACGACCACCUGCUGACGAGCCGGCACACGUGGUUCUUGGCUUUCACCGUGGCGGCGUUCGUGCUAGCGCAGCUGUCGCUCUUCUGCGCCAUGGAGUGGGGCUCCAACGGGCUGCGCGGGCUCACCGCCGUGCAGAAGCUCGUUGCGGGACUGUUCAUGUCGGUCAACUCCAGGCACACCGGUGAGAUGGUGGUGGACCUUUCCACCGUGUCGUCGGCCCUCGUGGUGCUCUAUGUGGUCAUGAUGUACCUACCACCUUACACUACAUUUCUACCAGUGGAAGACGACAGUGACCAACAAGUGGGAGCAGAUCAGCGCGACCAGAAAAGGAUAACAAGCAUGUGGCGGAAGCUGCUCAUGUCGCCGCUCUCGUGCUUGGCCAUCUUCAUCGCCGUGGUGUGCAUCACGGAGCGGCGGCAGAUCUCCGAUGACCCCCUCAACUUCAACGUCCUCAACAUCACCGUCGAGGUUAUCAGUGCGUACGGAAACGUGGGGUUCAGCACCGGGUACAGCUGUGGCCGGCAGGUGACGCCCGACGGCGGCUGCAGGGACACGUGGGUUGGCUUCUCUGGGAAGUGGAGUUGGCAAGGGAAGCUGGCUCUCAUUGCUGUCAUGUUCUACGGCAGGCUCAAGAAGUUCAGCAUGCAUGGUGGCGAGGCAUGGAGGAUAGUAUAA